rnacentral:rRNA from 1 species
AGCGAACGCUGGCGGCAGGCCUAACACAUGCAAGUCGAACGGCCCCUUCGGGGUUAGUGGCGGACGGGUGAGUAGCACGUGGGAACGUGCCUUUAGGUUCGGAAUAGCUCCUGGAAACGGGUGGUAAUGCCGAAUGUGCCCUUCUGGGGAAAGAUUUAUCGCCUUUAUAGCGGCCCGCGUCUGAUUAGCUAUUUGGUGAGGUAACGGCGCACCAAGGCUACGAUCAUUAGCUGGUCUGAGAGGAUGGCCAGCCACACUGGGACUGAGACACGGCCCAGAAUCCUGCGGGAGGCAGCAGUGGGGAAUCUUGCGAAAUGGGCGAAAGCAUGAAGCAGCCAUGCCGCGUGAAUGAUGAAGGUCUUAGGAUUGUAAAAUUCUUUAACCGGGGACGAUAAUGACGGUACCCGGAGAAGAAGCCCCGGCUAACUUCGUG